GAUGAACGCUGGCGGCGUGCCUAAUACAUGCAAGUCGAGCGAACAGACGAGAAGCUUGCUCCUCUGACGUUAGCGGCGGACGGGUGAGUAACACGUGGAUAACCUACCUAUAAGACUGGGAUAACUUCGGGAAACCGGAGCUAAUACCGGAUAACAUGUUGAACCGCAUGGUUCAAAAGUGAAAGACGGUCUUGCUGUCACUUAUAGAUGGAUCCGCGCCGCAUUAGCUAGUUGGUAAGGUAACGGCUUACCAAGGCAACGAUGCGUAGCCGACCUGAGAGGGUGAUCGGCCACACUGGAACUGAGACACGGUCCAGACUCCUACGGGAGGCAGCAGUAGGGAAUCUUCCGCAAUGGGCGAAAGCCUGACGGAGCAACGCCGCGUGAGUGAAGAAGGUCUUCGGGUCGUAAAACUCUGUUAUUAGGGAAGAACAAAUGUGUAAGUAACUAUGCACGUCUUGACGGUACCUAAUCAGAAAGCCACGGCUAACUACGUG
rnacentral:rRNA from 1 species